ACAGGAACUUCACCUAUGUGGGUUUCAGAAAUGUGUCACCUAAUUGGCCGGAAUCAUUUCCAUGUAACACCAAAAUUAUGGCCUAGUCACGACGACCGGACACCUUCAUUCUUAUGAAACAAAGUUAUGAACAGAAGAACAAACAAAGCAUAAAGUUCUGGUCCGUGUGACCCGCCCUGCAGCUGGUGGGCAUGUGUCCGCAUAGCAGCGUCACCUCCAUGACCUGCUCUCUGGCUGAUAUGUGGAGGAGAACCAAACACAGACACAGACGGAGACAUCCACAGGCCGAAGCCGGGAUGCCGGAGACCACGGUGGUGACGGUGGAUUGGUUGCUCCCGCAGCUGCAGCUGGUGACGCACGUGGGCCGGGCACUGAUGAUGCGCUUGAUCUGCGCCCGCGCGAUGCGGAGUAUGCUGAGAAAUGUGAAAAUGAAGCAGACGUGGCUGCGGACGGGUGCACCAUGGGAGCGAUGAGAUGUGAGAUAUACCGUCUAUCGUGACUAACAAGUGCCACUUGGGGAUAAAGCUCACGAUACUACUGACCUUGACACAUCUGGGAUGUCAACAUUGCAUCGUCCUUGUGGAGCUCCUGCACGCAACAUAUACAGUACCGUCCCAUCUCGAGGGAGGAGACUUGCCUAUGAACUGCAGAUGCUUCCAGCAAGCUAAGGAAAUGUUAUUUUUAGUGCUAACCAGGGACAUGAUUAUUAAUGCUAUGCUCUAUGGUAUGUUAAUAUGACAAUAACGUGUCUAACACACACUUUUUAGAUGCUCAUCUGCUAAAUGUCCCUCAGUAUCGGUUCAGCUAGCUACGCCUGGGUCUCAAUUAAUAAUUAAUUGUUGCUUUUUUUAAAUUACAUGCUUUAUUUAUUUACAUGGUGUCCACUGGUUUCUGUUUGUUUGCUGUAUUUUCAAGCCAAAGCUGUACAUAGCUAAUAGAUUAAUUGAAAGUAAAAAGAAUGCAGACUAGAGUAGGGACUUAAAUGCAUUGAUUUCUUUUAAGUAUUUACAGUAAAAAUCUACAUUUAAUCGCAGUUUUCUAUUCCUGUGCUGCAGCCCUUGACAUCGUCCGUGCCCUAAUUCCAGAUUUGUUGACUGGUGUCACUGAAUGAUGUUAACAGCAACGUUUAUUUUGUCACAGCGACCACGGAGCUAAUGUUAACAAGUCGUGUCGAUAUUGCACAACAGUGUUGAGAGCCACGAUAACAAAGACCAUGACUGUCAAUAAACCUGCUGUGGAAAUGUAGACAUGAAAUAGGAUGCCUAUAGUCACCACAACACUCCCAUUAUACUCCAUUGUUUACACAACAUUGUGCAACUCUAGCCUCUGCUGCUAGCUAGCAAGGUAGCAAGCUAAACAGUUAGUCUUGAAUUUAUUCCUUCUAAGCUUAAGAAAGGAGUUUCAAACAAAGUGGGAAAGAAGGAAAAUGUCAGAAACAACAAAUGUACCACUUCCACACGGAAUGGGAGGAGAACGUUUUUUCACUCUCCAUGGUGGCUACAUGGAUUGCAAGAUCUGGUAAUGUAACAUUACUGCUGCCUAUUGGCCAGAAUGCUACAUAUCAUUUGCAUUUCUAUAUGUCUGCAAUAAUAGACCACGAAACAGCGAUCAAUAGUUCAUUUGUUCAUUCAGUAUCCGAGUCAUUGAAGUUCAAUCACAAGUUUUUCAUGAUAUCGUCUGGUUGAGCCUCAAGUCAUUAAAAGUGUUCUGAAAUUGUCAUUUGAGCGAUAAUACGUGGGAUAAGUUCAAGUAAAAAACAAAAUGGCCAUUAGUCAUGUGACACAUUAGCGACACUGAUGACCUAAUGAUGCCCCCCCCUCUUAUUAUUGAACCCAAGGCGGGUACACCGUGCAUACUGUCAUCCAUGCAUACUGUCUGCAGCCGGCACAACACUGACUCACCUCGCAGGUCAACACUUUGCCCUUCGCACCGCGAUUGAUCCCCGCUCAUGCUUAUAAUGAAUUCUUUUUAACUGCAUGAGCUGACAGAGCAGACUCGGCUGGUGUGUCACUCCCACACACACACGCAUGCAUGAGCACAUACACACACGUUCUUUACUGUCCGUCUUUACAGGGUCCUAUAGGAACAAGUCUUAAGGUUGAACAUGAUAAACAACUGUAAAUUCCUCGGGUGAAGAAACUAAUAAAUAGAUGAGAACUUCUUUAAUGCUGUAAAUAUCCAAUACCGUACAACUAAAGCUAGCACAGAAGCACUUUUCCAAAAAGAAAGACAUAUUUUUACAUCAUGUAAAGCACAAACGAUCAGCUCACCUCAUGCGUGUUCCCGGUGGGAGGAGAGUUGAACCAGCAGCUCGCUUCUGAUGUGCGUGCUCGUGUGUCCGGGGGCGCCUAAUGAGUGUGGAUGUGUGGGGAAGAAACCAAAGAGAGCAAGGGAGCACCGCUGUGUCUCUCUCCCUCGCGCUGUCUCCUCCUCCUUCACCUCCUCCUCCUCCUCGCUCCUCUCUCUCACGCUCUUUAAGGCGGGGAGGUCCAAAGUGCGGCCCAGUGGUCGUAAUAGAGCAAAAAGGCAGAAUGUUGAUAAAGCUUAGUCGGUUAAAUAAAUCGUAUAGGAUAUGAUGAUUUGAUGAUUACCUCUACUCGUCAUUGUCACAUGACAUGGCAACUCAUACGCCUACUAAACUAAACUAGCGAGCUAACCAGUUAGCCUUGAAUUUAUUUCUCCUAAACUUAGUCAAUAAACCACUUCCACACUGAAUGGGAGGAGAACAUUCCUUUCACUUAAUCAUGGUGGACAGUCCAUGGCUGACUUCAGGCCGUGUUAAGGUAAUGUCAUGUAAGCUAAUGUCUCAUGUAGGUUUUGAGUCAUUACUGCCACCGAGUGGCCAGAGUAGUACUUAUCAUUUGUAUUUCAAUAUGUUUUGACUAAUAAUAGAUCAAAGUCCAACACCAAAUAGCCAAUAAAAAAUGUAAUCAAUUAAUUAUUAAAAAUAAUUAAUAUCCCCC